rnacentral:ribozyme from 13 species
UUGUCUCUUUCUUUUCUUUUCUUUUUUCUUUUUCUUUUGUUUUCGAUUUUCAAAAAGAAAGAAAGAGGGGAAAUAAGCGAUGGAUUCCUCGAGUGAAGAUGAAG